rnacentral:ncRNA from 1 species
CUUUGAUGGUGAUGUUGAUUGCUCUUUCAAGGCUCAAAGGAG